AUGAAAAGAUAGGAAACAAUAUAUACGUUUGCUCCACACAAAGGGCAACCCGAACUCACAGCCCAUCCUUUUCUAAAAAGAAUGUCUCCAGUCUGAAGUUUGUUCUACUUUACCAACCCCAAAAACCAAUAAAAUUAAGCUAAAUGAGCCUAAUACAUCAUAUGAAUAUAAUCGACAACUAACCACACCUCCAGACACUUAUGCUUCUAUCAAUCUCCAUUGUACCAUGCUACUGACAUUUGCCAUGCAAUACAAAAGCAACAAGCAAAUAAAGAACAUACAAGAACAUUAUAUAGCAAUAUAUCUGCGCCUAUGGAGCAAUAUCUUGGUUUUCCUCAGUUAAAAUGGAGAGAAUAACAGGAAGCAAGAUAUAACCUACAGGCUACAGUACCUUCACAUUGACACAAAGAAUAUUUUUAACCAGAUUCACAAAACUUGACAAUUUCAGACAUGAUAUAACCAAUAAAUACUGUAACUGCACUAAACAUCAAAGGAAAUUGGUAGCCGUCAAUGUUUUGAAUCUCUUUAAAUCCAAGAACGAAACUCUCUUCCAUGGCUCUCGAGGAUCUUGAUGUACAAAAGGCCUCCACAUAAAAAAAACCAUUUUUUUUUGCGGAAAAUCACAUACAGGCGGCAUCGGUGCCUUCUUCCUACCAUCUUUACUCUG
rnacentral:lncRNA from 1 species